UAAGACGGAGGGGGCUAGCGUUGUUCGGAAUGACUGGGCGUAAAGGGCGCGUAGGCGGCUUAUCAAGUCAGGUGUGAAAGCCUUGGGCUUAACCCAAGAACUGCGCUUGAUACUGAUAGGCUUGAGGAUGAUAGAGGAAAGCGGAAUUCCUAGUGUAGAGGUGAAAUUCGUAGAUAUUAGGAAGAACACCAGAGGCGAAGGCGGCUUUCUGGAUCAUAUCUGACGCUGAGGCGCGAAAGCGUGGGGAGCAAACAGG
rnacentral:rRNA from 1 species